UUUCUGCGCGAAGAGGAAGGACGGUGCCGCAGGAAGAAGUCUCGGCAAACUACGGGCCAGCAGCCGCGGUAAAACGUAGGAGCCGAGCGUUAUCCGGGAAUUUACUGGGUGUAAAGCGCGUGCAGGCGGUCAUGUAAGUGGUGCGUGAAGCGCCCCGGCUCCAACCCGGGCGAGGCCGUGCCAAACUGCGUGACUGGAGGCAGGUAGAGGCGCGUGGAAUUCCGGGUGUAGUGGUGAAAUGCGUAGAUAUCCGGAGGAACACCAGUGGCGAAGGCGGCGCGCUGGGCCUGACCUGACGCUAAGACGCGAAAGCAUGGGGAGCGAACGGGAUUAGAAACCCCGGUAGUCCAUGCUGUAAACGCUGCAGACUAGGUGUUGCGUGCGACGAGUAUGCAGUGCCGAAGCCAACGUGAUAAGUCUGCCACCUGGGGACUACGGCCGCAAGGUUAAAACUCAAAGGAAUUGACGGGGGCCCGCACAAGCAGCGGAGCGUGUGGUUUAAUUCGAGGCUACACGAAGAACCUUACCUGGGCUUGACAUGGCGGUGGUAGGGAACCGAAAGGGGACCGACCUUCGGGAGCCGUCACAGGUGCUGCAUGGCUGUCGUCAGCUCGUGUCGUGAGAUGUUCGGUUAAGUCCGGUAACGAGCGCAACCCUCGCCGCUAGUUACAAGUGUCUAGCGGGACUGCCCGUUGAACGCGGGAGGAAGGUGGGGAUGACGUCAAGUCAGCAUGGCCUUUAUGUCCAGGGCUGCACACACGCUACAAUGGCCGGUACAAUGGGUCGCCAACCCGCGAGGGGGAGCCAAUCCAUCAAAGCCGGUCUCAGUUCGGAUUGCAGGCUGCAACCCGCCUGCAUGAAGUCGGAGUUGCUAGUAACCGCAGGUCAGCUAUACUGCGGUGAUACGUUCCCGGGCCUUGUACA
rnacentral:rRNA from 1 species